rnacentral:lncRNA from 1 species
AGUACCUAAUGCUGUAAAUGUAGUAUUUCAUAUUUACCCCACCCUCCUAUUCAAAAAGAUAACCUAAAGAGGGUCUCUGAGUGUUCAGAGUGCAAAGGUUGUGUCCAGUAAUAUUGGAGAUGGUCCUGUAGUGUCUCUUACCCUUUUAUGUAUCCCCUCCCCCUUUACGUCAAUGCAAACCUGGUUCUCUUCCUACUUAAACCGAAUAUGGCUGUCUGUGUCUGUUCUCGUUCCUCCCUCUGUGUCCUGGAGAGUAGAGAAGAGCAGCUCCACCAGUUCAGCUUCAACACAAACCAUGUUCCCUGCAUCUCUGCUGCUGCUGGCAGCUGUAUCCUGUGUACAGAGUUAUGAACUCUUUCAGCCAGCAUCUAUGACUGUCCUGCUAGGUCAACCACUGACCAUCUCCUGUAAGGUCUCAUAUUCAGUUACUAACAGUUGGACAGCUUGGAUCUGAAAGCCUGCAGGGAAAACACUGGAGUGGAUUGGAAAUGUAUAUUCUGGAAACACAGAAUACAAGGAUUCACUGAAGAACAAGUUCAGCCUCUCAGUAGACUCUAGCAGUAAUACUGUGUUUUUAAAAGGGCAGAACCUUCAGGCUGAAGACUCAGCUGUGUAUUAUUGUGCCUACCCUCACAGUGAUACAAACCAGCACAAGAGCUUUACAAAAACCAACCUCCUGGGAUAUGCUGUACAUAAAAUGGGGGCUGAAGAGCAGACGUAACUCUCCUCUGUUCCACUCAAAAAAUGGAACAUGUUUUAUCCAUAAAAUACUCAAUGAGAAAGUUUAGCUCCUUUAUAUUUAACUAGGCAAGUCAGUUAAGAAGAAAAUCUUAUUUUCAAUGACAGCCUAGCCUCUUGUAACUAGGGGGCACUAUUCUUAUUUUUGGAAAAAUAACGUUCCCAAAGUAAACCGCCUAUUUCUCAGGACCAGAUGCUAGAAUAUGCAUAUAAUUGACAGCUUAGGAUAGAAAACACUCUAAAGUUUCCAAAACUGUCAAAAUAUUGUCUGUGAGUACAACAGAACUGAUAUUGCAGGCAAAACCCUGAGGAAAAUCCAAUCAGGAAGUGCCUCUUAUUUUGAAACCGUUGUGUUCCUUUUCCCCCCUUAUUGGGCAUUGAAAGGGAUAUCAACCUGUCAAGGGAUUUUUUUAAUCAAUAAUGACUAAUUAUGUAUACAUUUCAAUCAGGACUGACUAAUCAGAAAACAUAUGUCACUGUAUAGAUGUAUGAAUUUUCUUUUGAAUCUUAGUACUGAAUAUAAUGUGUGUAAAUAUAAUCAAGAAUAGAACAAUGACUGUCUGUUCCUUGGUAGAAAUGAAUGAAUUUAUAGCCAGACUGGCUAGAAGGCUUAUCUACACCGGCAGACCUUGGCUUGCGUCGUAAAUUAUCUUAGUAGGGAGAGACAAUGUGGGAAGGCUUGAGAACUAUACAGCCAUUGUACUGCUGGUUGAUGAGACGGGGUAGUACGAAAACCAAUGAAGUAAUUUUCAGCUUAUAAUCUGUGGUAAACUGUGUCAUGUUCAGUACUCUCGAGAAUAAACGCAGCUGGUUGAUUUUUGAGACUGGUCUCUGUCCAUUUUAUGCAAAUAAGAGUCUUACAAAUUCUUAGGAAUUGACAGAGUGUUUAAUUUUAAUUGGGUAUUAAAACAUAGAGGAAUAUAAUUCCUGUAACAAUUGGUCCUUCGAACGCCGGAACUAAAUACCCGUCUCUGCCAUCUGAAGGCCGUACACCGACAAUCAUGCACGAGCGGGUCUGGUCCCGUUAUUUAAGACCUGGCCUCUGAAUUGAGGGAAAAGACCAGGCCGGUGUACGAACAGUGCUUUUCCCAGUCGGCGGCAAGGUCAGUAGCCUUUCUUCUCGAAUUUGAGAUUAAUUAUUUAAGAAAUUUUUGAUUGAAUGUUCAAAAGGAGUUUGGAUUUAAUCAAUGAUAGGUGCUUGAAUAUUCUGAACAAAUACAAUGGGUUUCUACUUUGUGUUUUAACCAAAA